rnacentral:rRNA from 1 species
GAUGAACGCUGGCGGCGUGCCUAAUACAUGCAAGUCGAGCGAACAGACGAGGAGCUUGCUCCUUUGACGUUAGCGGCGGACGGGUGAGUAACACGUAGGUAACCUACCUAUAAGACUGGGAUAACUUCGGGAAACCGGCGCUAAUACCGGAUAAUAUUUCGAACCGCAUGGUUCGAUAGUGAAAGAUGGCUUUGCUAUCACUUAUAGAUGGACCUGCGCCGUAUUAGCUAGUUGGUAAGGUAACGGCUUACCAAGGCAACGAUACGUAGCCGACCUGAGAGGGUGAUCGGCCACACUGGAACUGAGACACGGUCCAGAGUCCUACGGGAGGCAGCAGUAGGGAAUCCUCCGCAAUGGGCGAAAGCCUGACGGAACAACGCCGCGUGGGAGAUGAAGGUCUUCGGAUCGUAAAACGCUGUUAUUAGGGAAGAACAAACGUGUAAGUAACUGUGCACGUCUUGACGGUACCUAAUCAGAAAGCCACGGCUAACUACGUG